rnacentral:lncRNA from 10 species
AUGAAUAUCUACUGAGCCCAGAGCCUUACCAAGCCUAGAGCACUGAGAACUUGCUGGAUCUGGAAAAGAACUGGGUGGCUUUGCCAUGUCAGCUUGCUCUGCAUAUCUCAGACUUUGUCAUUUUUGCAAUGUGAAAACAACAAGAGCAAAACACUUCAGGAGGUCAUCUACAUUUCUUGGCUCAUGGCCCCUUUCCUUCAUCUUCAAAGCCAGCAGCAUGGAAUGUUCAAAUCUCUCUCCCACUCUGACAUUCUUAUCUCCCUCUUAUAAGGACCAUUGUGAUUACACUGAGGCUAUUCGGACAUUCCAGGAAAAUCUUCCCAUUUUAAGAUCCUUAAAUUAAUCACAUUUAUAAAGUGCUUUUUGCCACAUAAGGUAACAUGUUCACAGGUCCAGGGAAUCAGGAUGUGAACAUCUUGGGGGUCUUUAUUCAUCUUACCACAGCAUAUUUUCAUAAGAUGAAGCUCAGUGCCUAAAGUGAAAAAAUGCUUAAAGGAAGGGUUAGAUGUUUGCAAGACCUUGUGAGUACAGAGAAUAAUGGGGUGCCCCAAAUAUUAACACCACCUUAAGCUGUGUUAAUAAGUAUAGAAUGUCCAGAAUGUGGGAGGAGACAGUGCUGAACUAGGCCAAGAGACUGUGGACUAAGAGGACAUGCGACAUACUGAGACACUAGCUGGGGCAGCCAAGGGAGUGCUGGCAUCACCCAUCCUCAACCCUAGGCUUCACAGCUCAGUUCCAAAAGAGACUCCUUCAUUCUGCUUGAGGAGAGGAAAGGGAAAUGUGCAGAGGACUUUGUCUUGCAUCUAGGAUACUGGAUACCAGCUCAGCCACAGCAGGAUAGGGCACUGGCCAGAGUCAUGAGGUCCCUGUUCCAGGAUCUAGCUCCAUGACAACAUUUUGAGACACACCUUGGGCCAUAAGGAAACUUGCUGCCUUGAAGAAAAGGGCCCAGUCAUGACAGCAUUCAUCACCUGCUAACUGAAGAACUCUUCGGUCUUAAUCAGAACCGAUACCCAGGUCCUACAUCCAGGGUCUUGGGUGAGCCUCUGAGACUUGCUGGCUUCAGGUGAAACUCAGAACAUUACUAGCUGUUGUGGCUAUGGGGUGAAACUCCUUCUGUUAGAGAAAAAGAGAGGAAAAUGUAAAGGGGGCUUUGUUUUGCACCUUAGGCACGAGCACAGCCAUAGUGGGGGUAGAGAACCUGGGAACUGAGUGAACAUAGGCAGUAGCCAGGGAAUGGUAACAGCAGGACUUGGACAAGACCCAGUGCUGUGCUGGCUUCAGGUCUGACCCAGUGCAGUCAUAGAUGUGGUGGCCACAGGGCUAUCUGUUUCACUCCAUCCCAGUUUUAGGUGGCUCAGAACACAGACAGACUCUAUGUUUGGGAGAAAGUAAGGGAAGAGAACAACCGCCUCUGCCUGGUAAUCCAGAGAAUUAUCCCAGAUCUUGUCCAAGACCAUCAAGGCAGUACUUCUACAAGUCUGCAAGAAUCACAGUAUUAUUGGGCUUGGGGUACCCUGUAAAGCAUAUACCAUUUAGAUAACAAUAUCAAAGUUCUUUCAAAUACCUGAAAAACUUUCCCAAGAAAUAUGGCUACAAAAACCCCAGAGAGUGAAGACUAUAAUAAAUACCUAACUGUUUAAUGCCCAAACACUGAAGGACAUCUACUAGCAUCAACACUAUGCAGGAAAACAUGAACUUACAAAUUGAACUAAGUAAGGCACCAGGGACCAAUCCUCGAGAAAUAAAGAUAUGGGACUCUUCACACAGAGAAUUCAAAAUAGCUGUGUUGAGGAAACUCAAAGAAAUUCAAUAUAACACAGAGAACUAAUUCAGAAUUCUAUAAGAUAAAUUUAACAAAUAUAUUAAACCAAUUAAAAAUGAUCAAGCAGAAAUUUUGGACCUGAACAAAGCAACUGGCAUACCGAAGAAAGAAUCAGAGCCCUUUAAUAGCAGAAUUGAUCAAGAAGAAGAAAGAUUUAGUCAGCUUGAAGACAGACUAUUUGAAAAUACACAGAGGACACAAAAGAGAAAAGAAUAAAAAGAUGAAGCAUGCUUACAGGAUCUAUAAAAUAUCUUCAAAAGGGCAAAUCUAAGAGUUAUUGGCCUUAAAGAGAAAGUAGGAAAAGAGAUAAGGUAGAAAGUUUAUUCAAAGGGAUAAUAACAGGGAACUUCCCAAACCUAGAGAAAGAUAUCAAUAUCCAAGUAGAAGAAGGUUGUAGAAUACCAAGCAAAUUUAACCCAAAGAGGACUACCUCAAGGCAUUUAAUAAUCAAACUCCCAAAGGUUAAAGAUAAAGAAAGGAUCCUAAAAUCAACAAGAGAAAAGAAACAAAUAGCAUACAAUGGAGCUGAAAUACAUCUGGCAGCAGACUUUUCAGUGGAAACCCUAUAGGUCAGGAGACAGUGCCAUGACAUUUGAAGUGCCAAAGGAAAGAAAAGUAAACAUUUACCCUAACAUAGUAUAUCAAGUGGAAAUAUCCUCUAAACAUAAAGGAGAAAAAAAAAGACUUUCUCAGACAAACCCAAGUUGAAGGAUUGUGUUAAUACCAGACCUGUCCUACAAGAAAUGCUAAACGGAGUACUUCAUUCAGAAAGGAAAAGAUACUAAUGAGCAAUAAAUAAUCACCUGAAGGUACCAAACUUACUGACAAUAGCAAGUGCACAGGAAAACAUACACUUAUUGUAACACUGUAAUUGUGGUGUAUAAACUAGUCUUAUUCUAAGCAGAAAGAUUAAAUGAUGAACCAAUCAAAAAUAAUAACUACAACAGCUUUUCAAGAUAUAGAUAGUACAAUAAGAUAUCAAUAUUAUACAAACAAUGAAAAGUUAAAAAGUGAUGGUAAGAAGUUAAGGUGAGUUUUUAUCAAUUUUCUUUUUGCUCCUUUGUUUGUUUAUGUAAAUAGUGUUAAGUUGUUAUCAGGUUAAAAUAACAGGUUAUAAGAUAGUAUUUGUGAGCAUCGUGGUAACUUCAAACCAAAAAAUAUACAAUUGAUACACAAAAAAUAAAAAGCAAGAAAAUAAAUCACAUCACCAGAGAAAAUCACCUUCACUAUAGGAAGAGAAAGAAAGGAAGAAAAGGAAGGAGGGAGGGAAGGAAGGGAGGGAGGGAGGGAGAGAGGGAGGGAAGGAGGGAUAGAACUAGAGGAAAACAAAUAACAAAAUGACAGGAGUGAGUUCUUACAUAUAAAUUAUAACAUUCAAUGUAAAUGGACUAAACUCUCUAAUCAAAAGACAUAGACUGGCUUAACACGUGAAAAGACAAGACCCAUUGAUGAACUGGCUGAACAGGUGAAAAAUCAAGACCCCACAAGAAACAAACUUCACCUAUAAAGACACACACAGACUGAAAAUAAAGGCAUGGAAAAAGAUACUCUAUGCCAAUGGAAACCCAAAAAGAGUUGGAGUAGCUAUAUUUAUAUCUGACAAAAUAGAUUUGAAAGAAAAACUGUAAGAAGAGACAAAGGAGAUCACUAUGUAAUGAUAAAGGGUUCAAGUCAGCAAAAGGAUUUAACAACUUUAAGUAUAUAUGCACACAACACUGGAGCACCCUGAUAUAAAAAGAAAAUAUUAUUAGAACUAAAGAGAGACAUAGGUCCCAGUACCAAAAUAAAUGGAGGCUUUAAGACCCCAAUUUCAGCAUUGGACAGAUCUUCUAGAGAGAAAAUAAACAAAAAAACUUCAUAUGUAAUCUGCACUAUAGACCAAAAGGAUCUAAUACAUUUUACAGAACAUUUUAUCCAAGAGCUGAAAAAUACACAAUCUUUUCCUCAACACAUGGAUCAUUCUCAGGGACACACCAUAUGUUAGGUCACAAAAAGUCUUAAACAUUUUUUACAAAAUAAAAUAAUAUUAAGCAUCUUCUCUGCCCACAAUGGAAUAAAAUUAGAAAUUAAUAACAAGAAAAUUUUGGAAACUACAAAAGUAUGUAAAAAUGAAACAAUAUGCUCCUGAAUGACCAGGGAUAUAAUCAAGAAAUCAAAAAGAAAAUUGAAAAAUUUACUUAAACAAAUGACAAUGUAAACACAACAUACAAAAAUUUAUAGGGUACAGCAAAAGCAAUACUAAGAAGAAAGUUUACAGUUACCAGUGCCUACAUCAAUAAAGAGGAAAAACUUCAAAUAAACAAUCUUACUAUGUAUCUUAAAGAACUAGAAAAGCAAGAGGAAAUGAAAGCCAAAGUUAGUAGAAGAAAUGAAAUAAUAAAUAUCAGAGCAGAAGUAAAUGAAAUUGAAAUGAAAAAGACAAUACAAAAGAUUAAUUUGAAAAGUUGUUUUUUGAAAAGUUAAACAAAAUUGAAAAACCUUUUAACAAAUUAAGAAAAAAAGAGAGAAGAUCCUAAUACCUAAAAUGAGAAAUGAAAAAAAAGAGACAUCACAACUGAUACUGCAUAAAUUAAAAAUACCAUUAAUGGCUACUAUGAGCAACUAUAUGCCAAUAAAUUGAAAACCCUAGAAGAAAUGGACAAAGUUCUAGACACGUACAUCCUACCAAGAAUGAACCAGGAUACAUUCAAAACCUGAAAAGAUCAGUAACAAGUAACAAGAUCAAAGCCAUAAUAAAAGGACUCCCAGUAAAGAAACACCUGGGAUUUGAUGGCCUCAUUGCAGAAUUCUACCAAACAUUUAAAGAAUACCAAUUCUACUAAAACUAUUCCAAAUGAUAGAGGAGGAGGGGAUGAUUCCAAACUCAUUCUAUGAGGCCAGUAUUACUGUCACAUGAAAACCAGAUGAAAACACUUCAAAAAAAAAAAAAAGAAAGAAAGAAAGAAAGAAAAGAAAACUACAGGCCAAUAUCUCUGAUGAAUAGUGAUGCAAAAAUUCUCAAAAAAAUACUAGCAAACUAUUUCCAACAAUACUUUUAAAAGAACAUUCAUCAUGACCAAGUGGGAUUUAUCCCUGGGAUGUAAGGAUGGUUCAAUCUAUGCAAAUUAGUCAAUGUGAUACAUCCUGUCAACAAAAUGAAGAAUAAAAACCAUAUGGUAAUUUCAAUUGAUGCUGAAAAAGUAUUUGAUAAAAUUCAACAUCCCUUCAUGAUAAAAACCUUCAAAGAAUUGGGAAUAGAAGGAAUAUACCUCAACACAAUAUAAGCCUAUAUGAAAGACUCACAGCUAGUAUCAUAUUGAAUGGGGAAAAACUGAAAGCCUUUCCUCCAAGAUCUGUAACAUGACAAGGAUGCCCACUUUCACCACUGUUAUUUAAUAUAGUACUGGAAGACCUAGCCAGAACAAUCUGACAAAAGAAAGGAAUAAAGAGCAUCCAAAUUGGAAAGGAAGAAUUAAAAUUAUCCUUGUUUGCAGAUGAUGUGUUCUUAGAUAUGGAAAAAAAGACUCCACAAGAAAACUGUAGAACUGAGAAACAAAUACAGUAAGGUUGCAGGAUGCAAAAGCAGCAUACAAAAAUCAGUAGCAUUUCCAUAUGCCAACAGUGAACAAUGUGAAAAAGUAAUUUAAAAAUUAAUCCCAUUUACAACAAGCACACAUAAAAUUAAAUACCAACAAUUAACUUAACCAAAGAAGUGAAAGAACUCUAUAGUAAAAAGUAUAAAACACUGAUAAAAGCAAUUGAAGAGGACACAAAAAAUGGAAAUAUAUUCCAUUGUUCUUGGAUUGAAAUAAUAUUGUUAGAGUGUCCAUAUUCCUCAAAGAAAUCUACAGAUUCAAUACAAUCCCUAUCAACAUACCAAUGACAUUCUUCAUAGAAAUGGAAAUAAAAUCCUAAAACGUAUAUGAAAGCCCAAAAGGCCCAGAACAGGCAAAGAUAUCCUAAAGAAAAAAAAAAAAAACUGGGGCUGGGUGCAGUGCCUCAUGCCUGUAAUCCCAACACCUUGAGAGGCCGAGGAGGCAGGUGGAUCAUUUGAGGUCAGGAGUUCAAGAUCAGCCUGGGCAACAUGGUGAAACCCUGUCUCUACUAAAAAUACCAAAAUUAGCCAGGCAUGGUGCCAUGCACCUGUAGUCCCAGCUACUCAGGAAGCUGAGGCAGAAGAAUUACUUGAACCCGGGAGGGAGAGGUUGCAGUGAGCAGAGAUAGCACCACUGCAUUCCAGUUUGGGUGACAGAGUGAGACUUCGUCUGAAAAAAAUAAAAAUAAAAAGUAUAAUAAAAAAUAACAAAACUGGAAGAAUCACAUUACUUGAUGUCAAAUUAUACUACAGAGCUCUAGUAAAAAAACAGCAUAGUACUGGCACGAAAACAGACACGUAGUCCACUGGAACAGAAUCAAAGUCUCAGAAGCAAAUCUACACACUGACCAUGAACUCAUUUUCAACAAAGGUUUCAAAAACAUACACUGGGGAAGAUACAGUAUCCUCAAUAAAUGUUGCUGGGGAAACUGGAUAUAAAUAUGCAGAACAAUGAAACUAGUCCCCUAUCUCUCACCAUAUACAAAACUGAAAUGAAAAUGGAUUAAAGACCUAAGUCUAAGUCUUCAAACUAUAAAACUACUACAAGAAAAUAUUUGGGAAACUCUGCAGGAAAUUAGACUGUGCAAAAAUUUCUUCAGCAAUACCCACAAUCAAGGCAACCAAAGCAAAAAUGAACAAAUGGGAUCACAUUAAGUUAAAACGCUUCUGCACACCAAAGGAAAGAAGCGAAGAGACAACAUACAGCAUACAGAAUGGGAGAAAUUAUUUCUAAACUACCCAUCUGACAAGGGAUUAAUUAACAUAAUAUAUAACGAGCUCAAACCAAUCUAUAGGAAAAAAUCUAAUAAUACACUCAAAAAAUGGGCAAAAGAUUUGAAAAGAAAUUUCUCAAAAGAAAACACACAAAUGUAAAACAGGCAUAUGAAAACGUGCUCAACAUAGUUGAUCAUCAGAGAAAUGCAAAUCAAAACUACUGAAAUAUCAUAUCACUCCAAUUAAAAUGUCUUAUAUCCAAAAAGCAGGCAAUAAUAAAUGCUGGUGAGGAUGUGGAGAAAAGGGAACCCUUGUACACUGUUAGUGGGAAUGUAAAUUAAUACGAUGACUAUGGAGCUUUGAGGUUUCUCAGGAAACUAAAAAUAAAGCUACCAUAUGAUUCAGCAAUCCUACUACUGGGUAUAUGCCCCUCAAAAUGGAAAUGAGUAUAUUGAAGAGAUAUCUGAACUCCUACGUUUGUUUCAGGACUGUUUACAAUAGCUAAGAUUUGAAAGCAUCAUAAGUGUCUAUCAGCAGAUGAAUGGAUAAAGAAAAUGUAGUACAUAUACAUAAUGGAGUACUAUUUAGCCAUAACAAAGAAUAAGAUCCAGUCAUUUAUAACAACAUGGAUGGAACUGGAGAUUAUUAUGUUAUGUGAAAUAUGCCAGGCACAGAAAGACAAUUGCAUGUUCUGGUUUAUGUGUGGAAUCUAAAAAUCAAGGCAAUUGUACUCAUGAGGAUAGAGAGCAGGAUAGUUACCAGAGACUGGGAAGGGUACUGGGGAGCUGUGCAGGAGGUGGGGAUGGAUAAUGGGUACAAACAAAUAGGAAGAAUGAAUAAGACCUACUGUUUGAUAACAUAACAGGGUGACUAAUAUCAACAAUAACUUACUUCCAAAUUUUUAGAUAACUUGGAGUGUAAUUGCAUUGUUUGUAACUCAAAGGAUAAAUGCUUGAGAGGGUAGAUACCCCAUUCUCCAUGAUGUGCUAUUUCACAUUGCAUGCCUAUAUCAAAACAUCUCAAGUACCCCAUAAAUAUAUACACCUAUUUUGUACCCACAAAAAUUAAAAUAAUAAAAAUAAAAGAAAAAUUCAAAGAAAAGAAUGCUGAUGGAAAUCAGUGACGCCUGGCUAGCUCUUUAUGGAGAUCUUCCUCCAGGAUCAGUGGGCUUCUGAAACCAGAAACGGCUUAACAUAAUAAUUACAAGUGCAGGCUUGUGAACCUAGGUGUCUAAAUUCAAAUUCCAAUUUUGCCAUUUACCAGCUCUGUAACUAUGUAAAAAGCACUUCCCUGUGUGUCAGUUCCCUAGAGAGAAAAAUGAGCAUGAUAAGAAAACACACUAUGUGUCGUAGGACUGUUGUAACUAUUGCCAUUUUUAAGCAUUCAGAAGACUGCCUACCAUAUACCGAAUGCAUAACAAGGGUUAGCCAUUGUAAUUACUAUUAUUAUAAUUAUUCUGUUCAAUUUCUCAAAUAACAAAGCUCAUCAAAGAAAAGUCAGCUAGAGUUCAGAAUAAAAGACUGAUUACAUGGGCCAUGAUAGCUUUAGUUAGCAGAAGAAAGUCACUUUUCUCUUUGGAUGGAGGCCACAUCUUUGUCUUUCUCUGAGAACUAAAAUGAAUUCUUGUGUAUAAACAGAGGGGUGUAUGAAAUGACUUUUUUCUUUUCACGGUAAAGAUUUCAGAUGCCCCAGCCUGGGUCCUAGGUCUGGAGAACAAGCUAGAGAAAGGAUCAGCUGGCCUAAAUGUCCAUCUGAAAUGUUGACUCUAAAAAGUGAAGUCACAAGGACUGAAUUAGUAGUGGCAGCUGGAGGAUUUUCUGCAGGGUUCAGCAGGGAUCAACCUUCUGCUACACCAGUCCAGUGCCAAGAAAUGGCCUGGUAAGUGGGCUUGUGUAAAUAAGUUGAACUAGAUUACUUUAGCACCAACUUCUUACACAUACCUAGACUCUGGGCUACAAAAUAACUUAUAGUUACAUUUGUACAGUGAGUGCCUAACCUGGCUGAAGAUCAGAAUCAGCUAAGGAGCUUGCUAAAAAUAAAUAUUCCCAAAGCCCAUUCCAGACCUACUAAAUUGGAAUCUGUGGUGGAGGAUGGGGAGAGGUUGUGAUGGUUAAUUUUAUGUGUUGACUUUGAUUGGGUCCCAGUACCCAGAUAUUUGGUUAUACAUUAUUCUGGAUGUUUCUGGGAGAGUGUUUUCUAUGAGCUUUACAUUAAAUUGGUGAACUUUGAGUAAAGCAGUUUGCUGUCCAUAAUGCGGUGUGCCUCAUUCAAUCAGUUGAAGGCCUGAAUAGAACAAAAGGCUGACCUCCUUCCAGCAAGAAGGAAUUUUCUAGCAGAUUCCUUUCAGAUGUCAUCUGCUACAUCAGUCCUGGGAUUUCAUCAGUUCUUCCAGGUUCCCUAGCAGACUGUCUUUGGCCUUAAACUGCAAAUCUUUCCUGAGUCUCCAGCCUUCCAGCAUCCCCCAUUAGAUUUUAGACUGGCCAAGCCUCCACAAUCACAUGAGCCAGUUCCUCAAAACAAGCAGGCAAGCAAGCAAACAAACAAUUAUAUUGAUUCUGUAUCUAUGGAGAAUCUUGGCUAAUAGAGGAGACAAGAAUAUGUGUUCUAUACAAUCAUUCCAGAAGAUUCUGAGGGGGAAGCUAUAUUUAGAAACUAAUGAUUCAAAUAGUAUUUUUUUUUUUCUGUUACUGAGAUCUCCUAUAAAACUUUCUCUCCAGUAGCUAUUCAGGCCCUGCCUAUACAUUUCUAGUGACAGGAAUCUCAUUACCUCCAAGGACCAAAGGCAGAUCAGAAGCAGCCCAGUUUAUCUUUGCAUAUCUCUGACUGUUCUGGCUAUGUAUUAUUGUGUAUCAAACUAUUCUCCAAUGCUUUUGUAACUUAAAACACAACCACUUUAUUAUACCUUAUUAUUUUGGUUGGUUAGGAAUUCAGGUAAGAUCUGGCUGGCUGAA